rnacentral:rRNA from 1 species
GACGACGCUGGCGGCGCGCCUAAACACAUGCAAGUCGAACGAGCAAAGNGGAGCUUGCUUCUCUGAGCGAGUGGCGAACGGGUGAGUAACGCGUGAGGAACCUGCCUCAAAGAGGGGGACAACAGUUGGAAACGACUGCUAAUACCGCAUGACGCAUAGAGGUCGCAUGAUCUUUAUGCCAAAGAUUUAUCGCUUCAAGAUGGCCUCGCGUCUGAUUAGCUAGUUGGCGGGGUAACGGCCCACCAAGGCGACGAUCAGUAGCCGGACUGAGAGGUUGAACGGCCACAUUGGGACUGAGAUACGGCCCAGACUCCUACGGGAGGCAGCAGUGGGGAAUAUUGGGCAAUGGGCGCAAGCCUGACCCAGCAACGCCGCGUGAAGGAAGAAGGCUUUCGGGUUGUAAACUUCUUUUAAGAGGGAAGAGCAGAAGACGGUACCUCUAGAAUAAGCCACGGCUAACUACGUG